CUAGUGAUUAGAGUUUGAUCAUGGCUCAGAACGUACGCUGGCGGCACGCCUAAUACAUGCAAGUCGAACGAAGUAGCAAUACUUAGUGGCAGACGGGUGAGUAACAUGUAGGUAUCUUCCCAUUGGUGAGGAAUAACACGAGGAAACUUGUGCUAAUACCUCAUAAGUCUUUACGGAGAAAGCUUUAUGCGCCGAUGGAUGAGCCUGCACUUGAUUAGUUUGUUGGUAGGGUAAUGGCCUACCAAGACAAUGAUCAAUAGCUGAUUUGAGAGGAUGAUCAGCCACAUUGGGACUGAGACACGGCCCGAACUCCUACGGGAGGCAGCAGUAGGGAAUCUUGCACAAUGGGGGAAACCCUGAUGCAGCGAUGCCGCGUGAGUGAAGAAGGCCUUUGGGUUGUAAAGCUCUUUCGUCGGGGAAGAAAAUGACUGUACCCGAAUAAGAAGGUCCGGCUAACUUCGUGCCAGCAGCCGCGGUAAUACGAAGGGACCUAGCGUAGUUCGGAAUUACUGGGCUUAAAGAGUUCGUAGGUGGUUAAAAAAGUUGGUGGUGAAAUCCCAGAGCUUAACUCUGGAACUGCCAUCAAAACUUUUUAGCUAGAGUAUGAUAGAGGAAAGCAGAAUCUCUAGUGUAGAGGUGAAAUUCGUAGAUAUUAGAAAGAAUACCAAUUGCGAAGGCAGCUUUCUGGAUCAUUACUGACACUGAGGAACGAAAGCAUGGGUAGCGAAGAGGAUUAGAUACCCUCGUAGUCCAUGCCGUAAACGAUGUGUGUUAGACGUUGGAAAUUUAUUUUCUGUGUCGCAGCGAAAGCAAUAAACACACCGCCUGGGGAGUACGACCGCAAGGUUAAAACUCAAAUGAAUUGACGGGGACCCGCACAAGUAGUGGAGCAUGUGGUUUAAUUCGAAGAUACGCGCAGAACCUUACCAACACUUGACAUGUUCGUCGCGACUUUAAGAGAUUAAAGUUUUCGGUUCGGCCGGACGAAACACAGGUGCUGCAUGGCUGUCGUCAGCUCGUGUCGUGAGAUGUUGGGUUAAGUCCCGCAACGAGCGCAACCCUCACUUUUAGUUGCCAUCAUUAAGUUGGGCACUCUGAAAGAACUGCCAGUGAUAAGCUGGAGGAAGGUGGGGAUGACGUCAAGUCCUCAUGGCCCUUACGUGUUGGGCUACACACGUGCUACAAUGGCAUUUACAAUAGGAAGCAAAACGGCGACGUUAAGCAAAUCCUAAAAAAAUGCCUCAGUUCGGAUUGUACUCAGCAACUCGAGUACAUGAAGCUGGAAUUACUAGUAAUCGCGGAUCAGCGCGCCGCGGUGAAUACGUUCCCGGGUCUUGUACACACCGC
rnacentral:rRNA from 1 species